GUGUUACUUCGCAAGUAUUCAGCUAUGGCAUUAAAGAUCCUUUCAAGAACCCUUUUGAAUGGCUUCUCUAGGUGACACAGCAAAUGCAGUAUGUUGUGGGUGAGAAGCCAGGCGGGAGCCUCCUUCUUCUCUCCCGCUUCCAUCUGCCGUUCUCGACUCCAGCCCCAGUACCUUGCAGAAGCCUCUGGCUCCUCCUUCAAGAGUAGGAAGAGGGUGGGCAAACAGCUGAAAACACUGCAGGAACAGAUGUCUGAGCAGUCUGACGAAUUGGAAACAUCUGAAACAACUGUCCGAGCUGAAGUAUAAUAAAUAGACCUUUCA